AAGUAUCAGUGAUAUGUACAGUGUAUAUGCCCUAUUUUUCAGAGAACACGAUCAGUUUUUCUAUGGUUAGUCGGUCUCACGGUAACCAUCAGUUUAUUGCGGUGUUGUGUGAAUACGGUCUGUCAAAGCUAUCUUGUCAAAAUAAAUUGCUUAGUUGUUAUGUCUGCACCCGUUGGGGUUUCCUUACUCAAGGAAUGGAAAGGAAACAAGGAUUUGGGACUGAACUUGGGCAGCUGCUGUGUGGUAGCAGUGGGCAAGACCUCAGAGAAACCCAGUUGGAGGCCUGAUAACCAUGAAGCCGGAGAAAUAUCCGGCAUAGUAGAUGACACCCGAAAAGAGUUCACAGCUCAGGUGGAUUCAAUACUGCCAAUUCCAUCUUCCAACGGAACCGACACUAUUCCAUGCUCUGGGUGGAGAGGAAUUGAUAGCAUAUUUACCCAGAUCUCGAGAGACUCCAGCAACAAUACUGGGGGUAUUGAGGAAGUGGGUCGGAUUAGAAAUGGAUCGAGAAAAGUGCGGUCAUCGCAGUACAAGGGAGUCCUUGCACAGCCAAAUGGUCGCUGGGGAGCUCAGAUCUAUGAGAAACACCGACGCAUAUGGCUCGGCACUUUCAACAAUGAAGAAGAUGCGGCACGGUCUUACGACACAGCCGCCCUAAAGUUCCGUGGCCGGAGAGCCAUCACCAACUUCAGCACUAUAGACGACACUCACCCGGAGGCCAUCUUUCUAGGGCUCCAUUCCAAGGCGGAGAUUGUUGACAUGCUGAGAACACACACCUACCGUGAAGAACUCCAAGACUACUACAAAAUGAAUGCCACAAAGAGCAACGGGUCUUCAAAUCUUGACGGCGUAGAGGUCAAGAGUUCUGCAUACCCGCGGAGACAUCUAUUUGAGAAGAUCUUGACGCCCAGUGAUGUGGGGAAGCUUAAUCGAUUGGUCAUACCAAAGCUCUAUGCUCAGAGUUGCCUCCCUCUUGAAGAGGCGUCCAAGGACAAGGGUGUCAUUCUGAAUUGCGAAGACGACAUGGGCAAAAUAUGGAGGUUCAAGUAUUCAUACUGGAACAGUAGCCAGAGCUAUGUGCUCACUAAGGGCUGGUGUCGCUACACCAAGGGCAAGAGCCUUAAGGCUGGUGAUAUCGUGUCCUUCGAAUGCAGCACCAGUGGCUUAAGACAGCUCUACAUCAGCUUCCGCCGUAGGCCCUGCAAUAACUUUAAGAAACAAGCCUCUUUUAGUACUCUUCCCGUCCAUCCGACAGUAGUAACCCAUUUACCAGUCUACAGUGAGUUUGACUCGCCGGCUCGUAUUGAGGAUGGAUCCAUAAAGGGUUUGGUCCCGUGGUUAACCCCAACCAAUUCAUCAUCUGCUUAUGAUUUCUAUGGUUUGCAGUCUUCAAAAAAGUCGGCUUCAGAUAACAGAAAGUCUUGGCAGCUUGAGUAUCCAGAUCUAAGAAGUAGAGAUUUAUGUUCUUUUAUAUCUCCUGAUUCUUCAAGUGUUACGGUGUUUGGAGUGAAUCUACGUCUAUGAAGCUCUGUUACUGUUCACCCACUUUUAAAGCAUUUUGAUUCGCCUACGGCUGUCAAUGAAGAUUAUAGGAAACCCUGGAGUAUUGAAAGUUGGAGGAGAAGACGCGGAAGGCCUUGAGCUUUAGCAGACUGCAAAAGGGGCAGCGGUGUCAAGAAGAAAGUGUGAAGAGUGUCGAAGAAAGGGAUGCAUAAGUCAUGGUUAGGAGCCAUGCCACUGGUCUGUGUGAGAGGUGAUUGAAUACAAGGUGUUAUGAGAUGACCUCACCCACAUUCAAAAUGUGGUCUUCAUAUGGCAGAAGUCUACAUAUGAGGUAGAUAGUGUUCCAAGAAAUACAGCAUUAGAUGAGACCCUUUUGGCAAAUUUAUGGCUGCCAAUAAAGAAAUGGUUGUCAAAUUGAGAUUGAAGCCCAAUUUUGUUUAACAUUGGCAUAGAUCCUUUUAUAGUGUGCAAUAACAAUCAAUAAGAACAAUUAUGUGCAGAUGAAGUGUCAUGAGUUUUCUCUUUGUUAGAGAAAGGAGGGGAAAACCUUGUGAUCUCUCAUGAAGGAGAGAAAUUGCUACUUCUUUAAUAUGUGUACCUUGUUGGUCUAUAAGACCUAGUAUAAUAGUAAUGGCAAUUUUACACACUUAGUUGCAAAGAUUCAAUUUGUGAAUCUUCUUAGCAUCAAGGGGGAGUAUGUUGGAUAGUGAUGCAUGCAUGCAACUGGAAAUGGAAUCAGUAAUGUCAAGAAUGAAAUUGGAGUUUCUAGA